UGAGUCGGUCGGGCGGCCGCGUCGGGCGUGGCCCGUCGAGGAAAGUCCGGACUCCACAGGGCACGGUGGUUGCCAACGGCAACCCGGGGCGACCCGCGGGAAAGUGCCACAGAAAGCAGACCGCCCGGUUCGACCGGGUAAGGGUGAAACGGUGGUGUAAGAGACCACCAGCACCCCGGGUGACCGGGGUGGCUCGGUAAACCCCACCGGGAGCAAGGUCAAGAGGGCGCUACGGCGCCUGCGCAGGCGUUCGAGGGCGGCCCGCCCGAGUCUGCGGGUAGACCGCUGGAGCCUGCCGGCGACGGCAGGCCGAGAUGGAUGGUCGCCGAAUGGGAGCACCGCAAGGUCCCCAGGAACAGGAUCCGGCUUACAGAUCGACUCAUCCG
rnacentral:RNase_P_RNA from 1 species